rnacentral:rRNA from 1 species
UACAGAGGGUGCGAGCGUUAAUCGGAAUUACUGGGCGUAAAGCGCGCGUAGGCGGCUUUCAAGUCGAUUGUGAAAUCCCCGGGCUCAACCUGGGAACUGCAGUCGAGACUGUCUAGCUAGAGUAUGGGAGAGGGAUGUGGAAUUCCAGGUGUAGCGGUGAAAUGCGUAGAUAUCAGGAGGAACACCGGUGGCGAAGGCGGAUCUCUGGGCCUUACCUGACGCUCAGGCACGAAAGCUAGGGGAGCGAACAGG